AGCAGCCGCGGUAAUUCCAGCUCCAAUAGCGUAUAUUAAAGUUGUUGCAGUUAAAAAGCUCGUAGUUGAAUUUUAGGCCUGGUUGGAUGGUCUGCCUUUGGGCAUGUACUGUCCUGACUGGGUCUUACCUUCUGGUGAGCUGUCGUGCUGCUUGCAGUGCGGCAGGGAACCAGGACUUUUACUUUGAAAAAAUUAGAGUGUUUAAAGCAGGCAUUCGCUUGAAUACAUUAGCAUGGAAUAAUAAAAUAGGACUUUGGUUCUAUUUUGUUGGUUUCUAGGACCGAAGUAAUGAUUAAUAGGGAUAGUUGGGGGCAUUAGUAUUUAAUUGUCAGAGGUGAAAUUCUUGGAUUUAUGAAAGACUAACUUCUGCGAAAGCAUUUGCCAAGGAUGUUUUCAUUAAUCAAGAACGAAAGUUAGGGGAUCGAAGACGAUCAGAUACCGUCGUAGUCUUAACCAUAAACUAUGCCGACUAGGGAUCGGACGAUGUUAAUUUUUUAAUGACUCG
rnacentral:rRNA from 2 species